CAGCCGCCGCGGGAACACGAAGGGGGCUAGCGUUGCUCGGAAUGACUGGGCGUAAAGGGCGCGUAGGCGGCGAUCAAAGUCUGGCGUGAAAUUCCUGGGCUCAACCUGGGGGCUGCGCUUGAUACUUGGUUGCUUGAGUGGGGAAGAGGGUCGUGGAAUUCCCAGUGUAGAGGUGAAAUUCGUAGAUAUUGGGAAGAACACCGGUGGCGAAGGCGGCGACCUGGUCCUUGACUGACGCUGAGGCGCGAAAGCGUGGGGAGCAAACAGGAUUAGAUACCCCUGUAGUCCCUGUCUCUUAUAC
rnacentral:rRNA from 1 species